rnacentral:lncRNA from 1 species
GACAAUGCCAGAUCCUUAACCCCCUGCAUCAUAGCAGGAACUCCACUAUGACUUCAUCUUGAUUGUAUCCUCAAAGACCAUCUUUCCAAAUAAGGUCACAUUCACAGGUACCAGGGGUUAUUACUUCAACAUGUCUGUUUUGGAAACACAGUUCAAUGCUCUACAGAUACCUUGUGCAAAAAGCUGUCUUUCAUUUUUCUUAAAGCUGUUUUACCAGUGAGACCAGCAGUGGCCACACUUUUGAGAUCCAUUUUUCCUAUCUCUUCAUUUACAGACCUAUAAAUUAUUCUUUCUAGAGUUGCAUUUCUACUUGGUAAAAGAAUAGCUGAAAAACAAGCGAUGGUGACACCUCAUCACUUUCUCCAUCACAAGACUGAUAGGCAUUAAAUUACACUGACAAGACUUUGCCCUGGGAGCAAAUGGCCAGCCUGUAGAGAAGAAGAGAGAAGCAAUCAAAGUAUAUGUGAAGACAGCUCAUUUUAGAGCUCUUUUUUCCUGCCCACACAUUGGAAAACUUAUUUGACCACAAGAAGUUAUUUGGCUUUAUGUAGCCACAUAGCCAUCAGUUUUUUCUGUCCCCAGUACCUGCAUAUCAAUGUAAGAAAGCAGAGAAUUCCAGAGAAGCAGAUUAAGUGGCCCCUGGGGAUUCCUUGGGAACAUUCCAAUCUGUUUUUGUGUGUGUGUGUGUGUGUGUGUGUUAAAAGAAUUGUUAGAAAAUUUCCUAAAUCCAGCUCCACUCCAAAUGCUUUUAAAACUACACAAAUACUGGAAACAAAGAAACAUUUUUGCUAUUGGGUCAUUGACUAGGAAUAGACUGAAUUCUUACUAAAAGAGCUUUUAUUUCCACUGGGAAUUGUAGGCAUGAUACAUUUUAGGUGGACAACUCUAACUGUCACAACUCAAGCUGUCAAUGAAGAGAGCCUUUAGGAUCAGGUUGCCGGGAUCUAGGAUCAGGAUCAAAGAGGUAAGGAUGUAUAGAGAGGAGAGGAGAAGUAGAGAUGAUAAAGGGAGGUCAGGAGCAACAGAUAUUAAAAUCAGAAGAAAGGUGAUUGAACUGUAAAGCAACAAGAAAAAAUAUACAGCUGAAUACCCUGUUAUGCCUAUAUGACUCAAAUGGGAUGAAUAACUCAAAAGUUUUAGGUUACAAUUAUGUUAGCAUUACUUACUAAGAAUUGGGGAUUUCCAGCCUACUGAGAUUUGAAGGGUCCUAAGAAAAGGUUCUCUCCAAAAAAAUUUCCAGUAGGGCUCCACAAAAUUUUAACAGACUGCCCUUCCUUGCAGAAAGGUGGGGCUCCUCUAUUAAGAGAUGUAAAGCUACCAAUAAGUUUUGCAGCCUGCAGCCUACAUGAUAGCUCUCCAAGCCAGUGGCCAUUACCAUCUUCACUGCUCUGCUGUUUCCCCUGGUUGGAGUGUCAUGCAGGAGUAGCACUGCCCUCUCAGUUACUGUCCUGCUCAGCUCCUGUGAGCACCAUCCCUCUAGGUUUAAAGGAAAUGACUAGAAACUUCUACACAAGAAAGUUAGGGCUCCUUGAGUUAGAGCAUUUAAGUCACUAGCUAAUUUCAUAUAAAACAUUUAAGUUUUAGCACUCUAAUAUAUUAAUUUAAAUGUAGAUAUGACUUGAUGUAGAAGCAAGUGGAUAUAGUCUUAGACUGAAAAGGCCUGAAUUUAAAUCUCAGCUUUUCAUGUCAUGGUUGUAAUGAUCUGGGCUAAGGAAUGUAACUUAUUUGAAGCUGAUUUUCUUCAUGUGUAAAAUAUUUAGCUCACACUAUUGUUCUAAGAAUUGGAUGACACACGUGUAGCCAUGCCUGGAUCAUAGUAUGGAGUUAAUAAAUGUUUAAUGUAUAAAUGAUUGCUUUAAAUUUUUCAAAAGGCUUUCAGAUACAUUUAUUCUUCUAAUUCUCCAAUGAGAUAGGGUAAUGAGGGAAGAACCAAGAUUAGAACACAGGACUUCUGACUUCCCAGGAGUAUAUCUGGAGUUUACUGAUGGUGUAAAUGUAAAGGGAAUAAUGGAAUAGCACUUCCUUCUACUUAAUUACUUAGGAAGUUAAAGAGCUGGAUUGAAACAGAGGGGAAAUGGACUUGUCAUUUGAAUAAAAUAAUCAGUUGUCUCUCCUUAUUUGGUAAAUAAAUUCAUUUGCUCCCAGGUACUGGGUUGCAUCUUACCACUGUUUAAUCUGGGGAUCUCAUUUUAGGAGCCUGAGCACAGUAUGUCUCCCCCAUAUAAUCCCAAGAGGCCAAAUGAAAAAUCUCAGCAAAAUGGUUAUUCUUCCCAAAUGCCAGGGUGAGGAGCCAGAAAUAACACUGCUCUAUUUGGGAUAUCUGAUAAGUAAGAACUGUGCCUGUCCUAGGAGAAGUUCUCUUCUAUCUUAAAAUUAUAAGAAUUUACAUGAGUUCAUGUGAGCAUAUAGGCAUUAAUUAAUGUGCCUAUGAGUCCAACUUCUGGAAUAUUUAGUUAAUUGGAAAUGAGGAUUUUUCAGUUAAUUCCAGAGUAGCAUCUCAAAAAAAAAGGGUAGUUUAGGUUUCUGAAGAUGUUUAGUUUAGGUAGUUUAGGUUUCUAAAGGCUAUCUAGCAAAAAUUUCAACAUAAACUUUUGUUUUUCUCUUUGAAAUGGCUUUCAAUAGUGCCAAAAGUGUUUGACUUGUCUCGAAGAUGCUAAUUUGAGCCUCAGACAGCUGCAGUGGUUAUUAAUAUGAGCACAAUGGCUGACAAUUUGACAACAGCAUCUAGUUUUCACUUACUGCUUUCAUACUAAAUGUCCCUUUUGUGCACAGAGUGUAAAAUCCAUGGUCAGAUGACUGAAUUGGGAGACACGCCUGUAGACUGACCAGCAUCUGAGAGUCUUUUCUUUUUAAGAAAGCGAUACCAUUCUAAUAGGGAAAUUGGUACAUCUUACACUAGAUUAUAAAUCUUUAACGCAUUAUUGUUCUUUCCACAGUGCAGUGUAAACUCAAGGAGAAGAAACUUGUAAUAAAAUUAGUGAGGAGUGAUGUGUUCUUAAUGCAUAUUUACUGUAGAUAAAUUGACCUAUAAAAGUGUCACGGGACAUUGGCCUAGCAUUGGAAAAAAUAAGCAGCUCUUUGUCAUUCAGAUGGAAUGUGAUUUAGAGAUGAACAUUUUAAAUCUAAGUUAUAUUUUGCCUGCUUAUUCUUUGUAAUUUUCAAAAGUAAUGCUAUCUAAAUGAAAUAACUAAAAACAUCCACAGAUAAAUAUCCGAUGGCAUUUUCUUCUUCUAGUUGCAUUUUAUGAGUCUGAGCCAGAUAGAUGUGUGUAUGUGGUCUGUGGGUUUUUUUUCCUACAGAGCACCAUUUUGCUUGGUUGAACUUUGUUUUGUAAAUGCACAAAGGCUUAAAUAAUCCUGUGGGCAUCCCUGCAUGUGUCACAUUCACCAGACAACUUGUCCAACUCUGUGAGUGUGUUUCUUUUGAGGGACUCAGCUGAUCCAUUGUUUGAAUAAAAGCAAAUAAUCAGCUAUAUACUGAAUGAUGUACAAUUUAAUAUCUCUGACCCAGGCUGAGCCAAAGGCAAAAUUAUAAAAAUACAAGCAUUUUUUUUUCUACAAGAAGUGUAUGAUUUCACAAUUAAACUGGUUAUCUUAAAAAGUUACUACAAAGAGAUUGAUUAAUUAGGAAAUACAAAUUAACAUCAUGUAGCCUAUUUUCCCAGCUAGAAGAUAAGUACUAUAAGGCCAGAGAAAGUGUUUUUUCCCUGUAUCUAUUUUGGUGUAUGUCACACCAGUGAGUGAAUGAACAAAUGAAUUCUUAUAGGACUUGAAUAUUUAUAUAAGAUAUGAAUGUAAGUUGUUUAAUUCUCACUACCCAUAUGGAAUGUAGGUGUUCUUAUUAUCUCAUUUUACAGGGAAAGAAUUUUAAAUUCAGGUUGCAAUGAUUUGUCCAGUGUUACACAGCUAGGAGAGUAGAGGUAAAACUUUAAUCCCACCUUUUUAAUUCUUGAGUAUAGUAUAUCAAAUCCCUGUCCUUAGAAUUUACUUCUUUAUCCUUUAUGUGUCAGCAUCUUUCUGUGAAGGACCAGAGCGUAAAUAUUUAGGCUUUUGUGGUCCAUAUGAUCUCUUUCACAUACCUCCUCAAUUCUGCCACUAUAGUACAAAAGUAGCCAUAUCAACA